rnacentral:rRNA from 1 species
CAGUAGCCGCGGGAACACGUAGGUGGCAAGCGUUGUCCGGAAUUAUUGGGCGUAAAGCGCGCGCAGGUGGUUUAAUAAGUCUGAUGUGAAAGCCCACGGCUCAACCGUGGAGGGUCAUUGGAAACUGUUAAACUUGAGUGCAGGAGAGAAAAGUGGGAUUCCUAGUGUAGCGGUGAAAUGCGUAGAGAUUAGGAGGAACACCAGUGGCGAAGGCGGCUUUUUGGCCUGCAACUGACGCUGAGGCUCGAAAGCCAGGGGAGCAAACAGGAUUAGAUACCCCCGUAGUCCCUGUCUCUUAUAC